rnacentral:rRNA from 1 species
GCAAGUCGAGCGGACUUGAUGGAGCUUGCUCCAUCAAGUUAGCGGCGGACGGGUGAGUAACACGUGGGCAACCUGCCUGUAAGACUGGGAUAACUCCGGGAAACCGGAGCUAAUACCGGAUAGUAUCUUGAACCGCAUGGUUCAAGUUGGAAAGACGGUUUCGGCUGUCACUUACAGAUGGGCCCGCGGCGCAUUAGCUAGUUGGUGAGGUAAUGGCUCACCAAGGCAACGAUGCGUAGCCGACCUGAGAGGGUGAUCGGCCACACUGGGACUGAGACACGGCCCAGACUCCUACGGGAGGCAGCAGUAGGGAAUCUUCCGCAAUGGACGAAAGUCUGACGGAGCAACGCCGCGUGAGUGAUGAAGGUUUUCGGAUCGUAAAACUCUGUUGUUAGGGAAGAACAAGUGCGAGAGUACUGCU